AACGCGAAGAACCUUACCAGCCCUUGACAUGUCCCGUAUGGGGCCGAGAGAUCGGCUUCUUCAGUUCGGCUGGCGGGAACACAGGUGCUGCAUGGCUGUCGUCAGCUCGUGUCGUGAGAUGUUGGGUUAAGUCCCGCAACGAGCGCAACCCUUAUCUCCAGUUGCCAUCAUUCAGUUGGGCACUCUGGCGAAACCGCCUCGGAUAACGGGGAGGAAGGUGGGGAUGACGUCAAGUCCUCAUGGCCUUUAUGUCCAGGGCUACACACGUGCUACAAUGGCCGGUAUAAACCGCUGCAAACCCGCGAGGGGGAGCUAAUCGGAAAAAGCCGGCCUCAGUUCGGAUUGCAGUCUGCAACUCGACUGCAUGAAGCUGGAAUCGCUAGUAAUCGCAGAUCAGAAUGCUGCGUGAAUACGUUCCCAGGCCUUGUACACACCGACUGUAC
rnacentral:rRNA from 1 species